rnacentral:rRNA from 1 species
UCAAGUGAAUAAGUGCAUCAGGUGGAUGCCUUGGCGAUGAUAGGCGAUGAAGGACGUGUAAGCCUGCGAAAAGCGUGGGGGAGCUGGCAAUAAAGCUAUGAUCCCGCGAUGUCCGAAUGGGGAAACCCACUGCAUUCUGUGCAGUAUCCUAAGUUGAAUACAUAGACUUAGAGAAGCGAACCCGGAGAACUGAACCAUCUAAGUACCCGGAGGAAAAGAAAUCAACCGAGAUUCCGCAAGUAGUGGCGAGCGAACGCGGAGGAGCCUGUACGUAAUAACUGUCGAGAUAGAAGAACAAGCUGGGAAGCUUGACCAUAGUGGGUGAUAGUCCCGUAUUCGAAAUCUCAACAGUGGUACUAAGCGUACGAAAAGUAGGGCGGGACACGUGAAAUCCUGUCUGAAUAUGGGGGGACCAUCCUCCAAGGCUAAAUACUCAUCAUCGACCGAUAGUGAACCAGUACCGUGAGGGAAAGGCGAAAAGAACCCCGGGAGGGGAGUGAAAUAGAACCUGAAACCUGAUGCAUACAAACAGUGGGAGCACCCAUGUGGUGUGACUGCGUACCUUUUGUAUAAUGGGUCAACGACUUACAUUCAGUAGCGAGCUUAACCGAAUAGGGGAGGCGUAGGGAAACCGAGUCUUAAUAGGGCGAACAGUUGCUGGGUGUAGACCCGAAACCGAGUGAUCUAUCCAUGGCCAGGUUGAAGGUGCCGUAACAGGUACUGGAGGACCGAACCCACGCAUGUUGCAAAAUGCGGGGAUGAGCUGUGGAUAGGGGUGAAAGGCUAAACAAACUCGGAGAUAGCUGGUUCUCCCCGAAAACUAUUUAGGUAGUGCCUCGAGCAAGACACUGAUGGGGGUAAAGCACUGUUAUGGCUAGGGGGUUAUUGCAACUUACCAACCCAUGGCAAACUAAGAAUACCAUCAAGUGGUUCCUCGGGAGACAGACAGCGGGUGCUAACGUCCGUUGUCAAGAGGGAAACAACCCAGACCGCCAGCUAAGGUCCCAAAUGAUAGAUUAAGUGGUAAACGAAGUGGGAAGGCCCAGACAGCCAGGAUGUUGGCUUAGAAGCAGCCAUCAUUUAAAGAAAGCGUAAUAGCUCACUGGUCGAGUCGUCCUGCGCGGAAGAUGUAACGGGGCUCAAAUCUAUAACCGAAGCUGCGGAUGCCAGUUUACUGGCAUGGUAGGGGAGCGUUCUGUAGGCCGAUGAAGGUGCAUUGUAAAGUGUGCUGGAGGUAUCAGAAGUGCGAAUGUUGACAUGAGUAGCGAUAAAGCGGGUGAAAAGCCCGCUCGCCGAAAGCCCAAGGUUUCCUACGCAACGUUCAUCGGCGUAGGGUGAGUCGGCCCCUAAGGCGAGGCAGAAAUGCGUAGUCGAUGGGAAACAGGUUAAUAUUCCUGUACUUGAUUCAAAUGCGAUGUGGGGACGGAGAAGGUUAGGUUAGCAAGCUGUUGGAAUAGCUUGUUUAAGCCGGUAGGUGGAAGACUUAGGCAAAUCCGGGUCUUCUUAACACCGAGAAGUGACGACGAGUGUCUACGGACAUGAAGUAACCGAUACCACGCUUCCAGGAAAAGCCACUAAGCUUCAGUUUGAAUCGAACCGUACCGCAAACCGACACAGGUGGGCAGGAUGAGAAUUCUAAGGCGCUUGAGAGAACUCGGGAGAAGGAACUCGGCAAAUUGAUACCGUAACUUCGGGAGAAGGUAUGCCCUCUAAGGUUAAGGACUUGCUCCGUAAGCCUCGGAGGGUCGCAGAGAAUAGGUGGCUGCGACUGUUUAUUAAAAACACAGCACUCUGCUAACACGAAAGUGGACGUAUAGGGUGUGACGCCUGCCCGGUGCUGGAAGGUUAAUUGAAGAUGUGAGAGCAUCGGAUCGAAGCCCCAGUAAACGGCGGCCGUAACUAUAACGGUCCUAAGGUAGCGAAAUUCCUUGUCGGGUAAGUUCCGACCCGCACGAAAGG